AGUCUACGUAAUUUAUCCAAAAUACCGGUCUUGUAAACCGGAAAAAGGCUUCCUCCCUCUUAGACUG
rnacentral:tRNA from 1 species